rnacentral:rRNA from 2 species
UGAAGAGUUUGAUCAUGGCUCAGAUUGAACGCUGGCGGCAGGCCUAACACAUGCAAGUCGAACGGUAACAGGAAGCAGCUUGCUGCUUCGCUGACGAGUGGCGGACGGGUGAGUAAUGUCUGGGAAACUGCCUGAUGGAGGGGGAUAACUACUGGAAACGGUGGCUAAUACCGCAUAACGUCGCAAGACCAAAGAGGGGGACCUUCGGGCCUCUUGCCAUCAGAUGUGCCCAGAUGGGAUUAGCUAGUUGGUGAGGUAACGGCUCACCAAGGCGACGAUCCCUAGCUGGUCUGAGAGGAUGACCAGCCACACUGGAACUGAGACACGGUCCAGACUCCUACGGGAGGCAGCAGUGGGGAAUAUUGCACAAUGGGCGCAAGCCUGAUGCAGCCAUGCCGCGUGUAUGAAGAAGGCCUUCGGGUUGUAAAGUACUUUCAGCGGGGAGGAAGGUGUUGUGGUUAAUAACCGCAGCAAUUGACGUUACCCGCAGAAGAAGCACCGGCUAACUCCGUGCCAGCAGCCGCGGUAAUACGGAGGGUGCAAGCGUUAAUCGGAAUUACUGGGCGUAAAGCGCACGCAGGCGGUCUGUCAAGUCGGAUGUGAAAUCCCCGGGCUCAACCUGGGAACUGCAUUCGAAACUGGCAGGCUUGAGUCUUGUAGAGGGGGGUAGAAUUCCAGGUGUAGCGGUGAAAUGCGUAGAGAUCUGGAGGAAUACCGGUGGCGAAGGCGGCCCCCUGGACAAAGACUGACGCUCAGGUGCGAAAGCGUGGGGAGCAAACAGGAUUAGAUACCCUGGUAGUCCACGCCGUAAACGAUGUCUACUUGGAGGUUGUGCCCUUGAGGCGUGGCUUCCGGAGCUAACGCGUUAAGUAGACCGCCUGGGGAGUACGGCCGCAAGGUUAAAACUCAAAUGAAUUGACGGGGGCCCGCACAAGCGGUGGAGCAUGUGGUUUAAUUCGAUGCAACGCGAAGAACCUUACCUGGUCUUGACAUCCACAGAACUUUCCAGAGAUGGAUUGGUGCCUUCGGGAACUGUGAGACAGGUGCUGCAUGGCUGUCGUCAGCUCGUGUUGUGAAAUGUUGGGUUAAGUCCCGCAACGAGCGCAACCCUUAUCCUUUGUUGCCAGCGGUUAGGCCGGGAACUCAAAGGAGACUGCCAGUGAUAAACUGGAGGAAGGUGGGGAUGACGUCAAGUCAUCAUGGCCCUUACGACCAGGGCUACACACGUGCUACAAUGGCGCAUACAAAGAGAAGCGACCUCGCGAGAGCAAGCGGACCUCAUAAAGUGCGUCGUAGUCCGGAUUGGAGUCUGCAACUCGACUCCAUGAAGUCGGAAUCGCUAGUAAUCGUGGAUCAGAAUGCCACGGUGAAUACGUUCCCGGGCCUUGUACACACCGCCCGUCACACCAUGGGAGUGGGUUGCAAAAGAAGUAGGUAGCUUAACCUUCGGGAGGGCGCUUACCACUUUGUGAUUCAUGACUGGGGUGAAGUCGUAACAAGGUAACCGUAGGGGAACCUGCGGUUGGA